AAAACCUACAUGUUUCCCAACAUCAUGGAACUAAUAUUGGCUUGUUGGCUAUUAUGACAGGAAGCUGGUGUAAUACACCAAGAGGAUCGUCCAUAGAUAGAGGAGACUGAGGAAAGUAUUAUUACACAAACCUUUCAGUUUCGCAAUGGAAAGAAAAGGUGGGGGAGAAAAGUUGUGGGUGGCAGUAAUAGUGGUAGUGAGGAGACUGAGGAAAGGGAAGAUAAAUUGUAAUGAGCAAUAGACAACGGUGGCGAUAAUAGCAGACAAUGGUAGUGAACUGCAAAACAAAAAGGUUGUGGACAAUGAAGAACGAAAAAUAGGAAUGGGAGAACUGAGGUCAUAUAUCUCUAUGGUUUCGGUUUUUCAAUAUUUAAGGUCAAAAAGUUGAAUAUAAUUGUAGAGUUAUCAUUGUUUAUAUUUUAAUAGUUUAUAUGAGAAAGGAAAUUUGACUUUAUUUGUAAG
rnacentral:lncRNA from 1 species